GCAGCGUCUUACGGGUCUUACGUGAGUGUUUGCAUACUUGUGGACAUACCAUUUCUGUUUGUCUGUGUGAUCAACUUGGGAUCGUAUCUUGAACCAAUGACGAGAUUGGCUACGAGUUGGAAGAUCGGGGUUCGAUAUUUGGGAAAGGAAGGAAUUUCAUUUCCUCCUGGACGUUACUUUCAGACUGGUACCUCGCUCCACACAGCCUCCUAUCCGACAAAAAUCAACAAGAGAACGAAGGACCCUGAACCAUUUCAACAAGUGACAUCGAACAGAAAGUGAUAACAAGAGAAGAGCAACUGCGAAAACAAUUUACAUAGCACUGGAUGUUGAUAAAAACACAAUCAGUAUUUGAUACCAGAAAGAUGU